UGGGGAAUAUUGCACAAUGGGCGCAAGCCUGAUGCAGCGACGUCGCGUGAGGGAUGGAGGCCUUCGGGUUGUGAACCUCUUUCGCCGGUGAAGAAGGUCCUGUUCUUUGUGGUGGGGCUGACGGUAGCCGGGUUAUGAAGCGCCGGCUAACUACGUGCCAGCAGCCGCGGUAAUACGUAGGGCGCGAGCGUUGUCCGGAAUUAUUGGGCGUAAAGGGCUUGUAGGCGGCUGGUCGCGUCUGCCGUGAAGUCCUCUGGCUCAGCUGGGGGCGUGCGGUGGGUACGGGCUGGCUUGAGUGCGGUAGGGGAGGCUGGAACUCCUGGUGUAGCGGUGGAAUGCGCAGAUAUCAGGAGGAACACCGGUGGCGAAGGCGGGUCUCUGGGCCGUUACUGACGCUGAGGAGCGAAAGCGUGGGGAGCGAACAGGAUUAGAUACCCUGGUAGUCCAUGCUGUAAACGUUGGGCACUAGGUGUGGGGGGUCUUUCCGGGUCCUCCGCGCCGUAGCUAACGCUUUAAGUGCCCCGCCUGGGGAGUACGGCCGCAAGGCUA
rnacentral:rRNA from 1 species